rnacentral:rRNA from 1 species
UACGGGGGGGGCAAGCGUUGUUCGGAAUUACUGGGCGUAAAGGGCUCGUAGGCGGCCAACUAAGUCAUACGUGAAAUCCCUCGGCUUAACCGGGGAACUGCGUCUGAUACUGGAUGGCUUGAGUUCGGGAGAGGGAUGCGGAAUUCCAGGUGUAGCGGUGAAAUGCGUAGAUAUCUGGAGGAACACCGGUGGCGAAGGCGGCCCACUGGGCAGUCACUGACGCUGAGGCGCGAAAGCUCGGGGAGCGAACGGG